UAAUUGGAAGCCAAAA
rnacentral:tRNA from 2 species